GCAAAAAUACGACACAAAGUUUAUAGUUUCCAUAUUUCAUCUUUUUUGUUUGUUUCUUACGAUUAAUCUUUUUAUUAAUUUUAGGGCUUGUGAUUGUGCUUGGAUUUGUCAUAUUGUUGCUGCAUCCGGUGGUUGAUUCUUCCCUUCCAGUUCUUCUUUCACUAUGUUGGAAGGAAGCGGAUGCACGGCGGUGGGUUUGUCGUUGGCGACGUUUCAGAUAAGAAAUGAGUACGAAUUUGGUCGAUCCAGAGGUUUUUGCAUAUCUGCUGGUAUAAGAUGAUUCUGAAGCUUAUUUGGAAGGUGUUGCCUUGGUUGGCCUCGUUGGUGUCUUGUUGCGGCAGCUCGACGACUUCUUGCCAUUUCGGGUGGCAGCAUAUAAUAUAGUGGCAAAGAAGAUGGCAUUUUUUGAUCCAUCUCGUGCUCAGGAUUUCCUCUUCAUCUCUGAAGCUAAGAUGCGGAAUUUUGCCAAAACCGGUGAAAAUCCACCAGAUGGUUUCAUGUGUCCCAACAGUGGAUGGUGCUCGUAAGAUAUUACGAGAGCUUGCAAGUACAAGAGGCGGAGCAAAAGCCAACUGUUUUAUCCGCUUAAGUAUGUGAUUAUGACCAUAACAUAAUGCAAUUUAGUUCAAACAAGUGAAGGAAGAACCUGCAUUAGGAUUCAAUGGAGCACCAUCCAAAUUGGUUAUGGUGGCUAGAAGAAUGAGAGUUUCAUUUGACUGUCAGCAGAAGAUUUCUUAAUUUAAGCAACUUUCUUUUUCUGAAUUAGGUUGUGGCUUCCUAUGGAUGUAAAGUGUUCUAUUAUUAUCAAAUAUUUAGAAAGAUUAUUUGUAUUCAAAACAAAAAAAUACAAUUUUUUGAGGGCUUCUACUGCUAAA